rnacentral:lncRNA from 1 species
AGUUAAAUUUAGAAUUUUGAACUAAGGUGGCUGCCAUCUAGUAAUUAAUAAUUAUACUAUAAUUUUAAAAUUAAUUUUCUAUACCUAUCGAGAAUAUGUAUCCAUUAUAUUUAUAUAAUUAUUACUGGAUGAAAUUAUUAAAAACUGACUAAUUAUGAGAGGAGGUGAUGAAAAUACAAACAUUUUCUAAAAUUAAUCCAAUAAUAAUAAUAGAUGUAAAAUCAAAAUAAUGGAAAGGAUCUAUAAUUGAUCAAUUUACUUUACUAACUUCUUUUAUAUAGUUAGUACAUUAUUAUAACAUUUUUAAACUGAAAUAUUAAGUAUGUUUGAGCUUGCAAAUUAUGUACCAUUAAGGACCAAGAAAUUAUGUACCAUGGAUAUCCAAUUCUUUUGGCAGAGUCCAGUUCCCUUUGGCAGUUCAGUCAGAGGACUGAUAGUUUUGUCCUCCUUUUGUCAGCCUUGUUCUACAGACUCUUUCUUGUUGUUGCCGUUUUAUAUCUUUUUAAUAUUUUUCAUUCGUUCUUCUGCCUCUCCCCUCUGUUUGCUGAUUCAACUCUUCCCAGUCGUUUUGUAUUCCUUCCGACCUUAUGACAUUAAGUAAUGGAAGUAAACUUCUCUCACGGAUAAUUAUCGAUUUCCUUGAGUUUCACUUAUACAAUUGCUGUAUAUACA